GCCUGGGUGGCUCAGUAGGUUAAGCUUCUGACUUCGGCUCAGGUCACGAUCUCGCGGUCCGUGGGUUCGAGCCCCGCGUCAGGCU
rnacentral:tRNA from 1 species